GCUAAUACAUGCAAGUCGAACGAACUCUGGUAUUGAUUGGUGCUUGCAUCAUGAUUUACAUUUGAGUGAGUGGCGAACUGGUGAGUAACACGUGGGAAACCUGCCCAGGAAGCGGGGGAUAACACCUGGAAACAGAUGCUAAUACCGCAUAACACCUUGGACCGCAUGGUCCGAGUUUGAAAGAUGGCUUCGGCUAUCACUUUUGGAUGGUCCCGCGGCGUAUUAGCUAGAUGGUGGGGUAACGGCUCACCAUGGCAAUGAUACGUAGCCGACCUGAAAGGGUAAUCGGCCACAUUGGGACUGAGACACGGCCCAAACUCCUACGGGAGGCAGCAAAAGGGAAUCUUCCACAAUGGACGAAAGUCUGAUGGAGCAACGCCGCGUGAGUGAAGAAGGGUUUCGGCUCGUAAAACUCUGUUGUUAAAGAAGAACAUAUCUGAGAGUAACUGUUCAGGUAUUGACGGUAUUUAACCAGAAAGCCACGGCUAACUACGUGCCAGCAGCCGCGGUAAUACGUAGGUGGCAAGCCGUUGUCCGGAUUUAUUGGGCGUAGAGCGAGCGCAUGCGGUUUUUUAAGUCUGAUGUGAAAGCCUUCGGCUCAACCGAAGAAGUGCAUCUGGAAACUGGGAAACUUGAGUGCANAAAAGGGACAGUGGAACUCCAUGUGUAGCGGUGAAAAUGCGUAGGAUAUAUGCGAAGAAACACCAGUGGGCGAAUGCGGCUGUCUGGUCUGUAACUGACGCUCGAAGGCUCGAAAGUAUGGGUAGCAAACAGGAUUAGAUACCCUGGUAGUCCAUACCGUAAACGAUGAA
rnacentral:rRNA from 2 species